UGCGAAAGCACGGCAUAUCGAUCCUUUUGGCUUGAAGAGUUUUCAUAAAAAGGUGUCAGAAAAGUUACCACAGGGAUAACUGAAUGUGGCGGUCAAGCGUUCAUAGCGACGUCGCUUUUUGAUCUUUCGAUGUCGGCUCUUCCUAUCAUUACGAAGCAGAAUUCGCUAAGCGUCGGAUUGUUCACCCGCUAACAGGGAACGUGAGCUGGGUUUAGACCGUCAUGAAACAGGUUAGUUUUACCCUACUAAUGACUAGUCAUUGCGAUAGUAAUCCUGCUCAGUACGAGAGAAACCGCAGGUUCGGACAUUUGGUUCACGCACUCGGUCGAGCGGCCGGUGGUGCGAAGCUACCAUCCGUGGGAUUAUGCCUGAACGCCUC
rnacentral:ncRNA from 1 species